UCACAAUCGAGAAGCUUUCUGGGAAUCCAGUCUAUAAGACAAAAUGACGAGUUAAAAAUUUUCUCAAUUCGAAGAACACUACGAGAAAAAUAAAGGCACUUACGAUCCAAGUUGACAGAAGAUAGAAGACGUCCCCUGAGCAUCUGCAACACACUCUGCACUGGCCUCGCAGAGGGCUCUUUCGGCGCAGCCUCGUUGACCUUCAUCUUCCGCACGACCAACGUUAUUAAAUGACUUCACUGACCUCAUGUAGCCCUAAAAUGAAAAUCGCGUUAAUCUCAGAACGGAUAAAAACAGAACCUAGCUGCCAGGGAACGAUGAGAGAACGAGGUCUUCAACGCGUCCAGAAGAUUGAUCACUAUGCUAAUGAACUGUUUCGGAGAAAUUGAUCCAUUAAAUGCGUGUACUAACCUCGGAAGCGUUUUUAGCCAUGACAGCAACCUGAUCGGGGUCUCUGCCCUGUCCUAGAAACGCGCCCAGCACCGCAGUCA